GACGAACGCUGGCGGCGUGCUUAACACAUGCAAGUCGAACGGAAAGGCCCUGCUUUUGUGGGGUGCUCGAGUGGCGAACGGGUGAGUAACACGUGAGUAACCUGCCCUUGACUUUGGGAUAACUUCAGGAAACUGGGGCUAAUACCGGAUAGGAGCUCCUGCUGCAUGGUGGGGGUUGGAAAGUUUCGGCGGUUGGGGAUGGACUCGCGGCUUAAGUGCUUGUUGGUGGGGGAGUGGCUUACCAAGGCUUUGACGGGUAGGCGGACUUGGAGGGUUACCGGCGAGAUUGGGACUAGGCUACGGCGCAAAGUAGUACGGGGGACAGCAGUGGGGAAUAUUGAACAAUGGGCGGGAGCCUGAGGCAGCAACGCCGCGUGCGGGAGGACGGCCUUCGGGUUGUAAACCGCUUUCGCCUGUGACGAAGCGUAAGUGACGGUAAUGGGUAAAGAAGCACCGGCUAACUACGUG
rnacentral:rRNA from 1 species